AGAGUUUGAUCCUGGCUCAGAACGAACGCUGGCGGCAUGCCUAACACAUGCAAGUCGAACGCUCUUGGGGCUUCGGUUCCAAGGGAGUGGCGCACGGGUGGGUAGCGCGUGGGAACCUGCCCUGGAGUGGGGGAUAACCGAGGGAAACUUCGGCUAAUACCGCAUGCGCCCCCGGGCUCGGUCUUCGGAUUGAGACUGGGGGGAAAGAUUUAUCGCUCUAGGAGGGGCCCGCGUCGGAUUAGCUAGUUGGUGGGGUAACGGCCCACCAAGGCGAUGAUCCGUAGCUGGUCUGAGAGGAUGAUCAGCCACACUGGGACUGAGACACGGCCCAGACUCCUACGGGAGGCAGCAGUGGGGAAUAUUGGACAAUGGGGGCAACCCUGAUCCAGCAAUGCCGCGUGAGUGAUGAAGGCCUUCGGGUUGUAAAGCUCUUUCGCCCGCGACGAUGAUGACGGUAGCGGGAGAAGAAGCCCCGGCUAACUUCGUGCCAGCAGCCGCGGUA
rnacentral:rRNA from 1 species